AGAGUUUGAUCAUGGCUCAGAACGUACGCUGGCGGCACGCCUAAUACAUGCAAGUCGAACGAAGUAGCAAUACUUAGUGGCAGACGGGUGAGUAACAUGUAGGUAUCUGCCCUUUGGCCUGGAAUAACACGAGGAAACUUGUGCUAAUACCGGAUAAGUCUUUACGGAGAAAGCUUUAUGCACCAUUGGAUGAGCCUGCACUUGAUUAGUUUGUUGGUAGGGUAAUGGCCUACCAAGACUGUGAUCAAUAGCUGAUUUGAGAGGAUGAUCAGCCACAUUGGGACUGAGACACGGCCCAAACUCCUACGGGAGGCAGCAGUAGGGAAUCUUGCACAAUGGAGGAAACUCUGAUGCAGCGAUGCCGCGUGAGUGAAGAAGGCCCUUGGGUUGUAAAGCUCUUUCGUCGGGGAAGAAAAUGACUGUACCCGAAUAAGAAGGUCCGGCUAACUUCGUGCCAGCAGCCGCGGUAAUACGAAGGGACCUAGCGUAGUUCGGAAUUACUGGGCUUAAAGAGUUCGUAGGUGGUUGAAAAAGUUGGUGGUGAAAUCCCAGAGCUUAACUCUGGAACUGCCAUCAAAACUUUUCAGCUAGAGUAUGAUAGAGGAAAGCAGAAUUUCUAGUGUAGAGGUGAAAUUCGUAGAUAUUAGAAAGAAUACCAAUUGCGAAGGCAGCUUUCUGGAUCAUUACUGACACUGAGGAACGAAAGCAUGGGUAGCGAAGAGGAUUAGAUACCCUCGUAGUCCAUGCCGUAAACGAUGUGUGUUAGACGUUGGAAAUUUAUUUUCAGUGUCGCAGCGAAAGCGAUAAACACACCGCCUGGGGAGUACGACCGCAAGGUUAAAACUCAAAUGAAUUGACGGGGACCCGCACAAGUAGUGGAGCAUGUGGUUUAAUUCGAAGAUACGCGCAGAACCUUACCAACACUUGACAUGUUCGUCGCGACUCUAAGAGAUUAGAGUUUUCGGUUCGGCCGGACGAAACACAGGUGCUGCAUGGCUGUCGUCAGCUCGUGUCGUGAGAUGUUGGGUUAAGUCCCGCAACGAGCGCAACCCUCACUUUUAGUUGCCAUCAUUAAGUUGGGCACUCUGAAAGAACUGCCAGUGAUAAGCUGGAGGAAGGUGGGGAUGACGUCAAGUCCUCAUGGCCCUUACGUGUUGGGCUACACACGUGCUACAAUGGUAUCUACAACAGGAAGCAAGACGGCGACGUUAAGCAAAUCCUCAAAAGAUACCUCAGUUCGGAUUGCACUCUGCAACUCGAGUGCAUGAAGCUGGAAUUACUAGUAAUCGUGGAUCAGCGUGCCACGGUGAAUGCGUUCCCGGGUCUUGUACACACCGCCCGUCACACCAUGGGAGUUGGUUCUACCUUAAGGCAAGGCAUAAAACCCUUGACCACGGUAUAGUCAGCGACUGGGGUGAAGUCGUAACAAGGUAGCCGUAGGGGAACCUGCGGCUG
rnacentral:rRNA from 1 species